ACCAAUUACUGGAGUUAGUGAAACGCACACUCUUCCUCUCUAUAAAUCUCUCCCUCUCUCUUCUCCCUUAUUUGCACACUAUCGUGACUCUCUCUCUCUCUCACUGCGUGCAUUGCCUGGUGGAGAAGAACGAGUCUGUGUGUGUCGUCGUCUCCGCCGCCAUGCCCAAGGGGAGAGCUCUUGUGGAUUGGCCGAAAAACGGUCGGACACGCCGCUGGUGUAGUGUAGGGUUCAGUAAGCCUGUGCGGCCAAAUAUUUGUCUUAUCAACGACAAGCCGGUCGCAAAUUAUCAGCUGUUGUCAAGGCUACGGAGGGGGUCGUAGACACCACCGGGCGACUUCUUUGCAUAGAUCAUGUUUGAUGUGGUUGUUUCUCUUAAUUGUGCAAAAAUUUGCAUACCAAAUGUGGAUAUGGAAGGAGUUAUUGCUAAGUUGUUUACACUUUUUUGAUAUCUACUCACGCGAUAACCACAUCCGCCGCCGUCGCCAUUAUGCGCACGGGAACAGCGCGUGCACGUUCGCGCAUACAUGCAAACACUGCGCGACCAGCAGCGGGGGAAAGCGGAGCACGUUCGCGCACAUAGGUCAACCACAUCUUGCGUCUGUGCGCGCGCGCACGCGCUCCUACUAAUACACACAGAGAGAGACAGCGUUUAAAGCCAGCUUCAUCAUGGCGCGGGGCGACAGUAUUAUCAACGCCACCCCAUCCAAUAUGUGUGGCCAAUGCUCCCGUUCGCGGCUGCUGCUGGGUUGGCCAGCAAAGUUGUUGUUAUGUUUUCAAUUGCUACUGCACGACGGACCGAAUGUGUGUGUGUGUGUAUAUGUAUGGUCUUCUAGCGUCUUCUUUUCUGCAUCCUAGCCUGCAACUGUUCGGUGAACAAACAAACGAAACCAAAAACAAACAAACAAAAAAGAGAAUAAUACACCAUCUCACUGAUAAAACGGUCACACAUUUCUUUGUGUAUUUAAAGACAAUAAAUGGUACCAGGGAGGGCGGGAGGAUAAUAGAGGGGUUCGCGCCCGCACACACAAACACACGCUUGUAGCAUGUUCCGCAUGUUUGUGUGCUCAUUUUCCCGGCUGCUCUAGGUUGUUUUCCGCUUCUUGGGUUUGCGUUUUUUUGCGUGCGCAAAGUCACCCCCAGUGAUGGUGCGCCCACUGUGUCACGCGCUUUCGCCGUGCGCUCGUGCGCUUGGUUGUGUUGGUGAGCGCGCACAGCUCGUCGCGCACCAUGUAUGGGCCGCGGCCACAUUAAGCGCGACGGUCAUCGGCCAUGUGCUGCACGGGGGGGUUACCGACAGGUGCGCACACACCACCACUCUGCCCCUUCCAAAAUCAACCCCUCAUCAGCUCAUCUUUGUUAUCAGCGCAGAAUAAAGAGAAUAUUCCCGACUUUUAUCGCAGCAUGUGGAUGCUCUUAACAACACCUUAAGGGGGCGGUCGUUGACAAAGGAAAUGUUUAAAUUCGUUAACCUGGCACUUGUUGCAAGAGAAACGCUAAACGUGAUUAAAUGCGUACUGACGGAGCAUUCCAAGAAGCGAAGGGAUUAAACGGUCCCUACACUUCGCACUGGUGUG